GAUGCUCCUCCCAGGUGCGUACUGCUGAGCAAAGGCUUCCACUGGAUCCAUUCAGAGGAGGCUGUAGAGGGGUGAGCUGUCCCAGGAUAUGAGACCCCUAUGGCUGGAAGAUGGGCCGCCCAGGACCCCCAGAGGAGAAGGUCUCCGACACCCAGCUGUCCGGGGCUCCUGGUGGCCCUGGAGAUGCGCUUGGUGACGACAUCGAUGGUACAGAGGAUUCAGACUUGGUGCCCUCUGUCACCCUGGCCGCGGCCCUCAUCCUACUGUUCCUCCUAGUGUCACUCUGGCUGGCUUGGCCACUCUGGCAAGCCUCCUACUAAGCGGAUUCCUGAGUGGAGGGCAGCAGGACCAUUGGGCUUCUAGCCCCACUCUGGGUCGACGACUCUCAAUGCUGUGGGAAAGUGUGGCAGCUCAUGCUCACCCGGUCCACUUCCCUUGAUGCCUGGCUUUACUCAUGUCUCUCAUCUUUAUAAAGCCGUGCUGCGGGCUUCAGAUAAAGCUGAAUGACUUCA